GCUUGGCUGGAGUAGUGGUUAACUCGUCUGCUUCCCAAAUACCCUGCUAGGGUAACACACGCAGCAGGAAACAAGGGUUCGAACCCCUUGCCUAGCA